GCCAACAGUCAUAUCACCCUGCAACUGGCAACCCACUGAAGCUCAGCAGGUGUGAGCCUGGUCAGUACCUGAAUGGGAGACCUCCUGGGAAAAACUAAGGUUGCUGCUGGAA
rnacentral:rRNA from 1 species